CCUACGGGUGGCAGCAGUGGGGAAUAUUGCACAAUGGGGGAAACCCUGAUGCAGCGACGCCGCGUGAGUGAAGAAGUAUUUCGGUAUGUAAAGCUCUAUCAGCAGGGAAGAACAUGACGGUACCUGACUAAGAAGCCCCGGCUAACUACGUGCCAGCAGCCGCGGUAAUACGUAGGGGGCAAGCGUUAUCCGGAUUUACUGGGUGUAAAGGGAGCGUAGGCGGCAGCACAAGUCUGGAGUGAAAUGCCGGGGCUUAACCCCGGAACUGCUUUGGAAACUGUGCAGCUAGAGUGCAGGAGAGGUAAGUGGAAUUCCGAGUGUAGCGGUGAAAUGCGUAGAGAUUAGGAGGAACACCAGUGGCGAAGGCGGCUUACUGGACUGUAACUGACGUUGAGGCUCGAAAGCGUGGGGAGCAAACAGGAGUAGAUACCCGAGUAGUC
rnacentral:rRNA from 1 species